GCUGCCCUGCUGAACUCAGGAUGUUGGGGCAGAGACGAAGCAGUUAUUUCUACACUCAGUGCUCAGAAUAGUGGGCACUAAGGAUGGUUUAUAGCCAGACU
ensembl:snoRNA